GAUGAACGCUAGCGGCAGGCUUAACACAUGCAAGUCGAGGGGUAUAGGUUUUCGGACCUAGAGACCGGCGCACGGGUGCGUAACGCGUAUGCAAUCUACCUUUCACAGAGGGAUAGCCCAGAGAAAUUUGGAUUAAUACCUCAUAGUAUUAUGAAGUGGCAUCAUUUUAUAAUUAAAGUUCCAACGGUGAAAGAUGAGCAUGCGUCCCAUUAGCUAGAUGGUAAGGUAACGGCUUACCAUGGCGACGAUGGGUAGGGGUCCUGAGAGGGAGAUCCCCCACACUGGUACUGAGACACGGACCAGACUCCUACGGGAGGCAGCAGUGAGGAAUAUUGGUCAAUGGACGCAAGUCUGAACCAGCCAUGCCGCGUGCAGGAUGACGGUCCUAUGGAUUGUAAACUGCUUCUGUACGAGAAGAAACAUCCCGACGUGUCGGGACUUGACGGUAUCGUAAGAAUAAGGAUCGGCUAACUCCGUGCCAGCCGCCGCGGUAAUAC
rnacentral:rRNA from 1 species